UACGUAGGGUGCAAGCGUUGUCCGGAAUUACUGGGCGUAAAGAGUUCGUAGGCGGUUUGUCACGUCGUUUGUGAAAACUCACAGCUCAACUGUGAGCCUGCAGGCGAUACGGGCAGACUUGAGUACUGCAGGGGAGACUGGAAUUCCUGGUGUAGCGGUGAAAUGCGCAGAUAUCAGGAGGAACACCGGUGGCGAAGGCGGGUCUCUGGG
rnacentral:rRNA from 1 species